rnacentral:rRNA from 1 species
CCUACGGGAGGCAGCAGUGGGGGAUAUUGCACAAUGGGGGAAACCCUGAUGCAGCGACGCCGCGGGGGUGAAGAAGUAUUUCGGUAGGUAGAGCCCUAUCAGCAGGGAAGAAAGAAGACGGUACCUGACUAAGAAGCCCCGGCUAACUACGUGCCAGCAGCCGCGGUAAUACGUAGGGGGCGAGCGUUAUCCGGAUUCACUGGGUGGAAAGGGAGCGUAGACGGCCGUGCAAGCCAGGAGUGAAAGCCCGGGGACCAACCCCGGGACUGCUCUUGGAACUGUGCGGGUAGAGUGCGGGAGGGGCAGGCGGAAUUCCUGGUGUAGCGGUGAAAUGCGUAGAUAUCAGGAGGAACACCGGCGGCGAAGGCGGCCUGCUGGACCGCGACUGACGUUGAGGCUCGAACGCGUGGGGAGCGAACAGGAUUAGAUACCCUUGUAGUC